rnacentral:rRNA from 1 species
GACGAACCGUGCGAACGUUGUUCGGAAUCACUGGGCUUAAAGGGCGCGUAGGCGGGCCGCCGCGUCCGGGGUCGAAAUCCCCCCGCUCCAACGGGGGGACGGCCUCGGAUACGGGCGCCUGGAGGCGGGUAGGGGCACGCGGAACUGUGGGUGGAGCGGUGAAAUGCGUUGAGAUCCACAGGAACUCCGGUGGCCGAAGGCAGCCCCCUGGGUCAAGAUUGACGCCUCAUGCACGAAAGCGUGGGGAGCAAACAGG